rnacentral:lncRNA from 1 species
AGGACAAUAAGAAAGGUUAAGUUCUGUUUAGGAGUUUAGGCUCUAAUCUGGUGAGACACCGAGAUUCUAUGCUCCUAGUUGCGAUUAACCCGAUCUUGGGUCAAAACGAGUUUCGAAUGAAACUUCGAAUCCCGAAUUCACAUGUAAACAGAGAGAGAAAAUAAGGAUUAGAAAAAUAAUCCAAGAUCUAAUGAAUGAACAAAGUAUAAUAUAAGAUAUCAACUCAAAGUAUAACA